AGAUUGAACGCUGGCGGCAGGCCUAACACAUGCAAGUCGAGCGGUAGAGAGGUGCUUGCAUCUCUUGAGAGCGGCGGACGGGUGAGUAAUGCCUAGGAAUCUGCCUAGUGGUGGGGGAUAACGUUCGGAAACGGACGCUAAUACCGCAUACGUCCUACGGGAGAAAGCGGGGGACCUUCGGGCCUCGCGCCAUUAGAUGAGCCUAGGUCGGAUUAGCUAGUUGGUGAGGUAAUGGCUCACCAAGGCGACGAUCCGUAACUGGUCUGAGAGGAUGAUCAGUCACACUGGAACUGAGACACGGUCCAGACUCCUACGGGAGGCAGCAGUGGGAAUAUUGGACAAUGGGCAAAGCCUGAUCCAGCCGAUGCCGCGUGUGUGAAGAAGGUCUUCGGAUUGUAAAGCACGUUUAAGUGGAGUAAGGCAGUUACCAAGUACGUAUCUGUUUUACGACGUUUAACGACGUAGAAUAACGCAACCGGCUAAACGUCUGUGCCAAGCAACGG
rnacentral:rRNA from 1 species